GUGGGGAAUCUUGCGCAAUGGGCGAAAGCCUGACGCAGCCAUGCCGCGUGAAUGAUGAAGGUCUUAGGAUUGUAAAAUUCUUUCACCGGGGACGAUAAUGACGGUACCCGGAGAAGAAGCCCCGGCUAACUUCGUGCCAGCAGCCGCGGUAAUACGAAGGGGGCUAGCGUUGCUCGGAAUUACUGGGCGUAAAGGGCGCGUAGGCGGACAGUUUAGUCAGAGGUGAAAGCCCCGGGCUCAACCUUGGAAUUGCCUUUGAUACUGGCUUUCUUGAGUACGGGAGAGGUGAGUGGAACUCCGAGUGUAGAGGUGAAAUUCGUAGAUAUUCGGAAGAACACCAGUGGCGAAGGCGACUCACUGGCCCGUUACUGACGCUGAGGCGCGAAAGCGUGGGGAGCAAACAGGAUUAGAUACCCUUGUAGUCC
rnacentral:rRNA from 1 species